rnacentral:lncRNA from 1 species
GGGCACUAGACACGCCGCCACCAUGACACAGAUAAAACUAAAGCACUUAUGUCGAACCCAACAGCAACACUUAUGGCACCAGUUUGGGCUUUGGCUAACCUGAUCAUUAUGAUUGCUUUGGCUAACCUGAUCAUUAUGAUUGGUGAGUUUGAGAGUUUUAUAUUUUAUUGUAUAAAUAUCUGGAAAGCUAAAGGUGUCAGUGAAUAUAUUAUUGGACUUGCUUUGUCUUAAUUGAUUAUUUUCCACGAUUGAAAAAGAAGCAUGAGGCUCAAUGUGUAAAGCACUCAAAAUAACAUAAAGCUCCCAGUAUUUGAUCAGUUUUGUUCUGUGAUUGAAUUGAUUCAGACUUUAUUCAUGUAUUUAUAGAUGGGUCACAGUCCCUCCAUCCCGUCCUGAGCGGCCCCACUAUGGCCUUCCUCAGCUCUAGAGUGGCCUUCCGGUGUGUAGCUCCCAACGCCCCGACUCCCGUCACAUAUGAACUGGUGAAAGACCAAAGUAUUCCAAUCGACACAGGCACCGAUCUCCAAGGAAACCAGCCUGCUUCCUUCUUCCUGCGGGUUGCAAUGACGUCAGGAGGGUCGUACCGCUGCAGGGCCCGGACUGAUGAGGGAGAAGGAGUCAGCAACACCAUCAGCCUAACUGUUGUCAUUCCCCUUCAGAAACCAGGAUCACCUCUGUGCCGUUCCCUCCGGUGGUAUAUGAGGGGUCUCGACUUGUCCUCUGCUGUAAUGUGUCCCGGGGCUCUCACCUGACCUACUCCUGGUUCUACAACAGGAGGAGCUGCUGCCGUCCGCCUCACCCCUGCUCCGGACUCAGGGGAGCAAUUUGGUGUUCGGGAGGGUCAAGCCUGAACACGCGGGGCGUUACUCUUGCAUGGCCUGGUCCAGUGUACAGGACAUCAAGAGGUUCUCCAGCAGCACAGAGGUCCAGCUCACAGUCAAAGGUAAACACUGUGGCUUAAAGUUGUAUAUUAAACAUGUUGGUAUUUCAAUGUACCUAUUUUAUGCACUCAAAGUCUUUAAAUAUUGUGCUGUAAAUUAUUACUCAUUGCUCCUGCAGUCUAUCUGUCCAAGCCGCAGAUCUCGUUCUCCAUCUCCAAAGAGGCCGAUGGUUUCAUGGGGAACAUCAGCUGCAGCGUGUCCCGGGGCAGCCCUCCCUUAAACUUCUGAAGGCAGCUUUGCGUAGUUUUGAAACUUGGAUACAAAGUUUAGACCCGACGUGACUCCCUCAGUCCUGCAGCUGCGUCUGCGCUGUCUCACCCUCGCUCCCUCUCCCUCACGCUACGCUAACCCAGCUGAACAGAAAGAGAAACUGCAGCCUCUGAGCUCGUUUUAAACUUUUAGAAACGGC